rnacentral:lncRNA from 1 species
AGAAAUCAACGAAUGUGCCAGUAAUCCAUGUCAGCAUUCUGCAGUAUGUAACGAUUUGGUAAACAGAUAUUCAUGUACCUGUAAAACUGGAUAUACAGGAACGAAUUGUGAAAUAGGUAAAACAAAUGCUAAAAACUAAACUUAAAAAGAAAACACUUUGCACAAUGAUGUUGUGUUAAAGGCAAUAGUAGUCUCAGAAAUCUAUACAAAUAUUUAAAAAUAAAUCAAGGUAACAUACAAAAUCUUAGGAAAUAUCAUGAGCUAUAAAAAGAGUGUCUCAUGCUAUGUGUGAACUAUCGAAAUGCUAAUCCAAAUUUAUUCUUAAUGGCACUAAAUGGAAUUGAGCAUAAUUGGUAAAAUUUUAGAUUAGAGGAAUGUUCUAGUAUCUAAAGAACUAAGAUCGUAUAACAUGUCGCUUCUGCACUGUUCUGAUUUAAAACACAUGGAAUUUGACAACCGCUUACAUCGUGACUGUACAAUGUUAUGUUAUUUUGGUUUCAUUCGUUUUUCCUUGUUAUUCUUUGUGUUCUCAAAAAAAAAUGUGUGUGCCUUGCGUUUCUUAUGAACAUAUUUUUUCACUCAAUUAGUGUGAGCAUAGAAAUGAUUAUAAAAAGGGAAAUGUGGUAUGAUUGCCAAUGGGACAACUCUCCACAAGAGACCAAACGACACAGAAAUUCACAACGAUAGGUCACCGUAUGGCCUUAAACAAUGAGCAACGCCCGUAUCACAUAGUCAGUUAUAAAAGGCCAGGAAAUGACAAAUGUAAAACAAUUCAAACGAGAAAAAAUAAUGGCCUUAUUUAUGUACAAAAAAAUGAACGGAAAACAAAUAUGUAUCACAUCAACAAACGACAACCACUGAAUUACAGGCUCCUGACUUGGUACAGACAUAUACAUGAAGAAUAUGGCGGGGCUAAACAUUUUAGCGGGAUCCCAACCCUCCUCCUAAAAGAGGGACGAAAGAUACAAGAGGGACAGUCAAACUCCUAACAUGAGCAGUGGUGAAACAGUACAGCAUAAGAACUAACUAUAAAAAAUUAAAUACAAAUAGAAAUACAUAGAACAAAAAAACAAAGCAUACUCUUUCUACCGUCAGAAGCACAUCGUAUCGACUCAAAUCUCUGUGGCAAGCAUCAAGUAAAGUCAUUGUUUUGAUAUAGGCUUUUUUAACGGAUAGUUUUACCGAGGAAUUUCAGGAUAAAAAACCUAAAUUUGUUGCAACCUCCUCAGGAAGGUAGUAAAAGUAACAAGUGUGUGUGUCUUUUUGUUCGUAUGGGGUGUUAUUAUGCAUAAUUUAAGAUAAUUUACAUCAAUAAUCACAUAUAUUACUAAUGCUCUUGAAAUAAAUGUAUUUGAAGAUAUCAAUGACUGUGCAAGCAAUCCAUGUCAACAUCAAGCAAGUUGCAUAGACCAUAUCAGUAGCUACACAUGCUCGUGUACUGUGGGUUACACUGGCAAGCAUUGCGAAAUGAGUGAGUGAAUUAUGUAUACAUAUGCCUUAAUAAUGUUUAUCUUAUUUUUUAAAUAUUAUGUAUGGACAGUUUUGGGAAUUUAAUUACAUUUAUAGUAUUCCAGCUUAGUACAAUACUGUUUUAAACUAUGAUCAUUUAAGCCAACGAUCGUUAUAACUCGCUGGAUUGUAUCAAGAAAGCUUCUGAUUUAUACAAUGUAUAAAAAUACGACUUAGGGAUAAUGAUUCAACUCCAUAUUAAGUAAGUAAGAGAUAUACAGGUCGUUGAUAAUUCAAAAGAGGGACGAAAGACGCCAGAGGAACAGUCAAACUCAUAAAUCGAAAAAAAAACUGACAACGCCUGGCUAAAAAUGAAAGAAGACAAACAGACAAACAAAAGAACACAUGACACAACAAAGAAAACAAAAAAAUAAGCAACACGAACCCCACCAAAAAAUAUGGGUGAUCUCAGGUGCUCCAGAAUAGUAAGCAGAUCCUGCUCCACAUUUGACACCCUUCGUGUUGCUUAUGUUAUAACAAAUCCUCUAAAUUGUCUAAUUCGAUAGGUCACGUUCAUGAAAGGGAAGAGUAUGCAUACCAUAUAUAUAUAUAUUAUGUACACAGCCAUGUAUCACCAUCAUUGAUGGCGAUCCGAUGGAUACAUCUGUUGUAGAGUUGUCACUGACUCAGACGUACUUAUAAAUAUAAUUAUUUUCUGUGACUGUAUAUUACAUUAAUUUGUAGGAUCCUUUACUAUAGAUAAUUUAGCUGAUAUGUAACAAUAACAUCUUCAUGCCUUAUAUAUCAUGUACUGUAGUACGCCGCUAGAUUAAAACUGACGAGGAAAGGUAACACACGGCCACUGAAAGCUUUAUUUUUGUAGAGCCCAGGUGGUCGUGUGGUCUAGCGGGACGGCUGCAGUUCAGGCGAUUUGGUGUCACGAUAUCACAGUAGCAUGGGUUCGAAUCCCGGCGAGGGAAGAACCAAAAAUUUGCGAAGCAAAUUUACAGAUCUAACAUUGUUGGUUGAUGUUUAGACGAUAUAUAUAUAUAUAUAUAUAUAUAUAUAUAUAUAUAUAUAUAUCAAGACCUUUAUCGUCUUUUGACUAUAUAAAUGCCUUUGAGUGUCAAUAAUCUUCUGUCUAUACCCACUCCACAUUUUGAAAAAUCAACGAUAAUCCUUCUUGGUCUUCUUAAUUUGGACAGAGACAGUUAUUCUAAAAAAUUAAUAAAUAAAUGGAAUGCACAGAAACAAUAAGAAGCAUAAUACUCAAACUAGUGCAACUAUCCAAUCCGUUGUAAUGGAUGUACCAGAAAAUAUGAUGGUCUUCGAAUAAAUAAUGGUGAUACAAUGUUUUGUUUGUCUGAUGAAUCCAAAUACAAAAUAGGGGAAAGCAUUUUUUUUAUAUUUUAAAAGUGCUUGUUACUUCCCGAUGGUAAAAAAAUAAGUUAUCAAAGAUACCAGGAUUAUGAUUGAAUACGCCAGACGUGCGUUUCGUCUACACAAGACUCAUCAGUGACGCUUAGAUCAAAAAAGUUAUGAAGUCAAAUAAUACAAAGUUGAAGAGCGUUGAGGACCAAAAUUCCAAAAAGUUGCGCAAAUACAGCUAGGGUAAUCUAUUUCUGGGAUAAGAAAAUCCUAAGUAUUUCGAAAAAUUAAAAGUUUUGUAAACAGGAAAUGUAUACAAAAAUUAUCAGAAAUUUUUACAAGUGUAGAAAAUAGAUUUUUUUUAAGUUUAUUUGUCUACAAAAGUAUCAGGAGGCAAAAUGUCAUAAUCCAGUUCAAAUAGAGCAUGGCUUUCAAUUUUAGACAUAGAGUGUCACAGUAAUCCAUGUCAAAACGGAGGGAUCUGUACAGACGUUCAAAACUCAGGGCAUACCUGUCACUGUCCUCCAGGAUUUACUGGAACCAAUUGUGAAAA